GAUGAACGCUGGCGGCGUGCCUAAUACAUGCAAGUCGAGCGAACAGACGAGGAGCUUGCUCCUCUGACGUUAGCGGCGGACGGGUGAGUAACACGUGGAUAACCUCCCUAUAAGACUGGGAUAACUUCGGGAAACCGGAGCUAAUACCGGAUAAUAUAUUGAACCGCAUGGUUCAAUAGUGAAAGACGGUUUUGCUGUCACUUAUCGAUGGAUCCGCGCCGCAUUAGCUAGUUGGUAAGGUAUCGGCUUACCAAGGCGACGAUGCGUAGCCGACCUGAGAGGGUGAUCGGCGACACUGGAACUGAGACACGGUCCAGACUCCUACGGGAGGCAGCAGUAUGGAAUCUUCCGCAAUGGGCGAAAGCCUGACGGAGCAACGCCGCGUGAGUGAUGACGGUCUUCGGAUCGUAAAACUCUGUUAUUAGGGAAGAACAAAUGUGUAAGUAACUAUGCACGUCUUGACGGUACCUAAUCAGAAAGCCACGGCUAACUACGUG
rnacentral:rRNA from 1 species